rnacentral:rRNA from 1 species
UACAGAGGUCCCAAGCGUUGUUCGGAUUCAUUGGGCGUAAAGGGUGCGUAGGCGGUCUGCUAAGUUUGGUGUGAAAUCCCGGGGCUCAACCCUGGAAUUGCAUUGAAUACUGGUGGACUAGAGUACUGGAGAGGAAACUGGAAUUUACGGUGUAGCAGUGAAAUGCGUAGAGAUCGUAAGGAAGACCAGUGGCGAAGGCGAGUUUCUGGACAGUAACUGACGCUGAGGCACGAAGGCCAGGGGAGCAAACGGG